ensembl:lncRNA
CCCAGGGCUAGCACCUCCUGGAGGGGCUGGGAGGAGGGCUGUGCAAAGGCCCAGCGGGGUCCCUCCUGCCCGGCCCGGGGAAGGGACAGCUCGGAGCCCAAGGCUGGACGCCGGGCACCCGCUGGAUCCGUGCAGAAGUCUUGCCUGGCAGCGGUGUCACAUGACUGCAGGGCCACGUGGCACCCAGUGACUCCUCCAGACAGCUGGGCCAACAGAGCGGCCGGCCACCGGAAGGCUCAGCAGGGCUCCGGCUUCGGACGCGGCCUGCCGGCUUGCCCUGUCCCCGCGCGUCCCUGAGUGGUGGGAACAGCCCGGGCCGAGCCCCUGAGGUCAGAUGCCAGGGCCUGCGGGCCAGGCCGCGUGGGAGGGCCAGCUCUCCCCAUCAUCCGGCUCAGGACACCUUCGGGACGGGCUCCUCCUCUCUGAGGCCCUGGGCUCCGCGGGCUCCCCGUGUGGACCUGCCUUCCCUGGCGAGAUCUGAUGACCCGGGAACCGCCUGCCUGAGGUCGUGAGCACCCAGGACUGGCUGCGCCUCCCGGCUGGUCGAGGCCACAAAGGGGACCUGAGCCUGUGGCUGGUGGGGACUGGGGGCCCCGGGGCCAGUGUGUGAGCUGCGCCUCGGGCUCUGGCCCCUUCCCUGUCACAGGCGCUGGGCGACGCCUCCCUGAGCGGGGCUGGGGUCGUGGCGGGCACUCUGCAGUCACUGUGCCCCCAGGCUGCUGGCUGCCCCCAGAGGCCCGGGCACUCAGACCCCUCGGCUUGCCCGCCCCCAGGCCCCCGGGGAGCCGGCCUUCACGGGGGAACCGGUCCUGCGGCCGCGAGUCCCAGGCAGCUCUUGCUGAGUCUGCAGCAGGGUUGCCCUGCAAGGGUGAGCUGACGCUUCGGGAGGAGGGCCUUCCGCGCUGCGGAGCAGGUGGGCCUCCCGUGGACCCGGCAGGGAGCGGGGCCGCCAGCCGGGAGCCACGGCUCCUCGGGUCUCCGUGCGCCUACCGCCGAACACAUGGAGCGCGGAACGCGACAGCCCCGCUGAUGUGCGGAGGGUGAUUCUUUACACCGCGCUCUCUGGCACAGUGAGUCCUCCAGGCACCUAAUGUACGCGUUCUCCGAGAAAUCAAUACUGUUUGCCGGGGAGAGAGGAGAGCCAUCGCCCAGAGCGCAUCCCCCGCCCGCAGUCUGUCACCCUUCUCUGCUUUCUGUCUGGACACGCACGUGCGCGGCUUUCAGACAUGAGGAUGUCCAGGCAGGGUGAGGGGACAGUGGAGUGUGUGCAAGGCCGCCUCCUUCGUGCGGGGAGAGCCUCUUGGAGCCCAGAGCCGGGACAACGUGCGGAAACCACACUUCAGGGCCUGAGCUGUCCUGGGGCAGUGAGGGUCUGCCCCUGGCAUGUCACCCGGGUCCUGGUGGUGGCCGAGGCGGCCCGUGGGGCACAGGGGAGAUGGGAGGCUGCACAGGCCGGUGGCCCCAGGGUGCUGCGCCUGCCAGUCUCGGGUGCCUGGGCCGCUGUGUCCCCUGGUCACGAGGGCCAGGACUGCCAGCCCCAGCCAGGAGCCGUCCCUGGGGCACAGCCCCCCUCCCAGCUUCUCGGGGGUCUUACUGCCUCUUGUUUCUCCUUAAGGCUCAAAGACUGGUGUCGUUAAGACUGUGAGUGGACGGGGUGUGGAGGUCAAGCUCCCCACGAGAGUGCGGACGGGCCAUGGAGAGACGCCCCCUCCCACCACCGCCCGGAACAGCUGGGUGAGCGUCGUCUGUGGUCAGCACCUGGUAAGAAGCAGGGGGAUGAGUGCGCACCACCCUUCUCCCGGGAGUCGGGUGCAGGGAACCCUUCCCCCCGCCGGGCGCGGUCGCCCUUGGCUAGCCUGACAAUGGGCCUCUGGACACCGAGUGUGGGCAGUGCCAGCCCUGGCCUGCCCACCAGGGGGCAGUGGUGCCUAACCGUGGCCGCCCUCCCCCAUGGGGCAGCCCCUGGGCUGGGACCGCCCAGUGGGCAGCCCUCGAAGCGGCUGACACCCUGACCCAUCCAGGCAGGGAGGCCCAGGCCUCCUGGAAGUGAUGCUGCCCACCCGGGAAGAGGGAGGGAGGGUCGGGGUCGUGCCCUGUGGGCUUGGCUCCAUUCUGCGGACAGAACCACCGAGGUCCCUGCAGCAGGCUGGCCGUGGCCUUGACCCCAAGGCUGUGCUGUGACCCUGGUUCCUGCUCUGAUGUGCUUCAGCUCGGACACUCCUCUGAAGCCGUCCGGCAGGACGUGCUCUCCCUCGGGCAGGAGGGGAGGGUUUCCUCUGGGCAGCAGGGCAACAGGUCCAGUCCAGCGGGUGGUCAGUGGGGCGGAGCUGCAGAGAGACGGCCGGUGAGGGGCUGGGCCUCCGCGUGGGCGUGGCCACCUGCUUGGGGUACCUGCUUACCCGGGGGUGGUGAUAGACGUGGCCUAGGAACGACCUCGACAGGCCGGGAGCCCCUGACGUGAGGGGGACCCUCCUGCUGGACGGGCGAGGAGGUAGCGGCUGGCCUGCUCCCGCCUUUGCUGACCGGUCAGCACGUUC